rnacentral:rRNA from 1 species
AUAAACGCUGGCGGCGUGCCUAACACAUGCAAGUCGAGCGGCAGCGAGGGGUGCUUGCACCCUGUCGGCGAGCGGCGGACGGCUGAGUAACGCGUGGGAACGUGCCCCAAAGUGAGGAAUAACUGCCCGAAAGGGUAGCUAAUACCGCAUAUUAUCUUCGGAUCAAAGGAUUUAUCCGCUUUGGGAGCGGCUCGCGUCGGAUUAGGUAGUUGGUGAGGUAAUGGCUCACCAAGCCGACGAUCCGUAGCUGGUCUGAGAGGAUGACCAGCCAGACUGGAACUGAGACACGGUCCAGACUCCUACGGGAAGCAGCAGUGAGGAAUCUUCCACAAUGGGCGAAAGCCUGAUGGAGCAACGCCGCGUGCAGGACGAAGGCCUUCGGGUUGUAAACUGCUUUUAUAAGUGAGGAAUAUGACGGUAACUUAUGAAUAAGGAUCGGCUAACUACGUG